UACAGAGGGGGCAAGCGUUAUUCGGAAUUAUUGGGCGUAAAGGGCGCGUAGGCGGCUUGGCAAGUGGAUGGUGAAAUCCCUCGGCUUAACCGAGGAACUGCCAUCCAGACUGCUUCGCUUGAGACCGGGAGAGGUGAGUGGAAUUCCCAGUGUAGCGGUGAAAUGCGUAGAUAUUGGGAGGAACACCAGUGGCGAAGGCGGCACUCUGGGCCAGUACUGACGCUGAGGAGCGAAAGCGUGGGGAGCGAACAGG
rnacentral:rRNA from 1 species